GGCUGAAAUUCGCCUUCAUGAAGCUGGAAUUGCUAGUAAUGGCAGGUCAGCAUACUGCCGUGAAUACGUUCCCGGGCCUUGUACACACCGCCCGUCACACCAUGAGAGUUGGAGAUACCCGAAGCCUGUGAGCUAACAAACGAGGCAGCAGUCGAAGGUAGAAUCAAUGAUUGGGGUGAAGUCGUAACAAGGUACC
rnacentral:rRNA from 1 species